rnacentral:sRNA from 1 species
CCAAAAGCUGUUUCCUGUCUGUGCAAUAUGUUCUUUUAGCUGGGAUACCUCGUCUGGCCAGAGUUGGAGAGGAGGUGCCUAACUAGUAUGAGACUUGAUGUGCUAGGGUGGGAGGAUACCUAAGGGGCUCCCUCCAGCUCAGAAGAGAAAUUGAGGGCGGGAGAAGGGAUGGAUUGUGGGAGGUGAUGAGUGGGGUUUGGGGGUUAGUGAGCAUGAUGUAAAGUGAAUAAAAAUAAAAAAGAAUAUCAUGGAUAAGAGGAAAGAGAAUAAUAGGAAUGGGAGGGCAACAAUCUAGGUCAAAUGGAGGAUGAAUAUGACCAAGUUAUAUUAUGUUUAUGUAUGAAAAUGUCCUAAUAAAACCUAUUAUUUUUGUAUAAUUUGUGUAUGCAAAUAAAGGAUCGAAAAAUAUAUCACUGAGGGCAAUAGAUAUUGCCGACAAUGCAGUUAUCCACAAACUAGCAGUGUUUGGGUCAGUCAGCUUGCUGCACCCACGUGAUUAUGAUUGCUUAGUGAGGUGGUAGCCAUAUGAGCCUGUGAGUGUGUAUAUAUGAUGAUCACACAAUGACAAUGUCACCUAAUGUUCCACUUCUCCAAAUGUGUUCAUUUUGUUAAACCAUGAAUGACAGUGUUUCAUUACAUGUACUAUUCACAAUAUAUAAAGUCUAAUUAGCCACUAUGUGGUCAGGGAAUGAAAAAAUAUUUUUUCCCUAAUUUUGGAGGAACCAGAGGCAGAAGAGCAGGUAUGGCAGAGAAAAAGACAUCAUUUCUGUCUCAGGCUUAUUGAGGAUCCCUUUUCUGAGAGUUAUGCUAUGAAAUGAAAUCUGGGAUUUGCAUUUCAGACAUUAAAGUAAUUUUGAGCUUUCUUUAAGGUUCCUGAAUGAAUGUAAAUGCCUGGAUGAUGAUUUAUCAGGAACUAAUGAUAAUCACAGCCCAGGAAGUGCCCUGACCAGACAAAAAGUGUGAUUACCCCUAAGUCAUGCAGUUUCCAGUUCCAGUCUUCUUUGAAGUCUACACCCUUUCUGCCACGUGGGGCCUGGAGCCCUGUUUCACCAGCAUCCACAUGAUGGAGAAUUAAAAGAAUGAGAAGCAGUUGAUUCCAGCUCUGCAGCUUUUAAAAUGGAGAUUCAGGAAAGCUUUUCAACUUUUGUGAUUUGGAAGAAGAUGCCAGUGACUGUUUUAGUAGUCACUCUCAACAGAUAUUACCCCUGCAUCCUAACGAAGAGAAUCAUGGAGCGUUGCCUGACUGUAACUGCUUCAUAUCAGGAGACAUUUGGAUAAUGUCAUUCACAAAGUUUGUUGUUUUGUUUGUUUGUAAGGUCUGUUCACUCAAGUAAAUGUGAAACUUAAAAUAUUUGAAGCCCUGUGGAAAUGACCUAGCAGAGACAAACAGUGGAUGGCAACGCAGGAGGAGAUUACUGAAGCUGAAAAUCCUUGAGAAAGUGAGAGACCUGCAGCAAAAACUUGUGCAUGGAGACAAUUUUUGCAAGAUCCACCUCUGGAAGCAAAGGGAGGUUUGAGGAGAAAAGAAGGCUGCCUUCAAAGUGAGGAUAUCAAGUUGCUUGGUACGAGGUUAGUACUGCUGG